UACGAAGGGUGCAAGCGUUGUUCGGAAUAACUGGGUGUAAAGGGUUCGUAGGCGGGAAGUUAAGUGCAGUGUGAAAUCCCUAGGCUCAACCUAGGACGCGCAUUGCAAACUGCCUUUCUUGAGUGUUGGAGAGGGUGGUGGAAUUGCUGGUGUAGGAGUGACAUCCGUAGAGAUCAGCAGGAACACCGGAGGCGAAGGCGACCACCUGGCCAGGCACUGACGCUGAGGAACGAAAGCGUGGGGAGCAAACAG
rnacentral:rRNA from 1 species